ACCUGACUGGCCCAGAUUAGGUAGGGCAGGAGACUCUUAAUCUUGGGGUUGUGAGUUCUGUCCCCAUGUUGGGUG
rnacentral:tRNA from 1 species